UGACCAUCCGAAAGGAUUAAGGCCAUACGGACAGCCGGGUCAACUGCCGA
rfam:Firmicutes bacterium CAG:424 genomic scaffold, scf80